UGGGGAAUAUUGCGCAAUGGGCGAAAGCCUGACGCAGCGACGCCGCGUGUGGGAGGAAGCUCUUCGGGGUGUAAACCACUGUCAGGAGGGAAGAACGGCGCCGGUUCGAACAGUUCCGGCGAUUGACGGUACCUCCAAAGGAAGCGCCGGCUAACUCCGUGCCAGCAGCCGCGGUAAGACGGAGGGCGCAAGCGUUGUUCGGAAUUACUGGGCGUAAAGGGUUCGUAGGUGGCUUGCUAAGUCAGACGUGAAAUCCCUCGGCUCAACCGGGGAAUUGCGUCUGAGACUGGCGAGCUUGAGUGCAGGAGAGGAACGCGGAAUUCCAGGUGUAGCGGUGAAAUGCGUAGAUAUCUGGAGGAACACCGGUGGCGAAGGCGGCGUUCUGGACUGCAACUGACACUGAAGAACGAAAGCCAGGGUAGCAAACGGGAUUAGAUACCCGAGUAGUCCCUGAGCGGGCUGGCAAGGCGCAU
rnacentral:rRNA from 1 species